rnacentral:rRNA from 1 species
UACGUAGGGUGCAAGCGUUAAUCGGAAUUACUGGGCGUAAAGCGUGCGCAGGCGGUGAUGUAAGACAGUUGUGAAAUCCCCGGGCUCAACCUGGGAACUGCAUCUGUGACUGCAUCGCUGGAGUACGGCAGAGGGGGAUGGAAUUCCGCGUGUAGCAGUGAAAUGCGUAGAUAUGUGGAGGAACACCGAUGGCGAAGGCAGCCCCCUGGGUCAAGAUUGACGCUCAUGCACGAAAGCGUGGGGAGCAAACAGG